rnacentral:rRNA from 1 species
CCUACGGGUUGCACCAGUGGGGAAUAUUGGACAAUGGGCGAAAGCCUGAUCCAGCAAUGCCGCGUGUGUGAAGAAGGUCUUCGGAUUGUAAAGCACUUUCGACGGGGACGAUGAUAACGGUACCGUAGAAGAAGCCCCGGCUAACUUCGUGCCAGCAGCCGCGGUAAUACGAAGGGGGCUAGCGUUGCUCGGAAUGACUGGGCGUAAAGGGCGCGUAGGCGGUUUAAGCAGUCAGAUGUGAAAUCCCCGGGCUUAACCUGGGAACUGCAUUUGAGACGCAUAGACUAGAGGUCGAGAGAGGGUUGUGGAAUUCCCAGUGUAGAGGUGAGAUUCGUAGAUAUUGGGAAGAACACCGGUGGCGAAGGCGGCAACCUGGCUCGAUACUGACGCUGAGGCGCGAAAGCGUGGGGAGCAAACAGGAUUAGAUACCCGUGUAGUC